UGGCGCGCCCUGCAGGAUUCGAACCUGCGGCCCACGACUUAGAAGGUCGUUGCUCUAUCCAACUGAGCUAAGGGCGC
rnacentral:tRNA from 1 species